CCUACGGGGGGCAGCAGUGAGGAAUAUUGGUCAAUGGACGAGAGUCUGAACCAGCCAAGUAGCGUGAAGGAUGACUGCCCUAUGGGUUGUAAACUUCUUUUAUAUGGGAAUAAAAUGUUCCACGUGUGGGAUUUUGUAUGUACCAUAUGAAUAAGGAUCGGCUAACUCCGUGCCAGCAGCCGCGGUAAUACGGAGGAUCCGAGCGUUAUCCGGAUUUAUUGGGUUUAAAGGGAGCGUAGGUGGAUUGUUAAGUCAGUUGUGAAAGUUUGCGGCUCAACCGUAGAAUUGCAGUUGAAACUGGCAGUCUUGAGUACAGUAGAGGUGGGCGGAAUUCGUGGUGUAGCGGUGAAAUGCUUAGAUAUCACGAAGAACUCCGAUUGCGAAGGCAGUUCACUGGACUGCAACUGACACUGAGGCUCGAAAGUGUGGGUAUCAAACAGGAUUAGAUACCCCAGUAGUC
rnacentral:rRNA from 1 species